CACUUCCAGCAUAACAAUUAUUGGAGGCACUGCCUGCCCAGUGACAUCCGUUAAACGGCCGCGGUAUCCUGACCGUGCAAAGGUAGCAUAAUCAUUUGUUCUUUAAAUAAGGACUUGUAUGAAUGGCCACACGAGGGUUUUACUGUCUCUUACUUCUAAUCAGUGAAAUUGACCUUCCCGUGAAGAGGCGGGAAUUCGCAAAUAAGACGAGAAGACCCUAUGGAGCUUUAAUUAACUAGUCCAUAAAAUAAACACUACACUUCCAAGGAAAACAAACCAACAUUUUUCUGGAUUAGCAAUUUAGGUUGGGGUGACCUCGGAAUAUAAAGCAACUCCCGAGUGACAUAGUCUAGACUGACAAGUCAAAACUUACUAUCAUUCAGUGAUCCAAUCUUUUGAUCAACGGAACAAGUUACCCUAGGGAUAACAGCGCAAUCCUAUUCGAGAGUCCAUAUCGACAAUAGGGUUUACGACCUCGAUGUUGGAUCAGGACAUCCCAAUGGUGCAGCCGCUAUUAAUGGUUCGUUUGUUCAACGAUUAAAGUCCU
rnacentral:rRNA from 1 species